AGUUUCUCUUCUAAUCCUGAAUUGGGUUCAAGAAAAUCUCUUUCUGGGCCAACCCUUCUCACUUUGUUUCUGUUUCUUAAUUCCAGAGGGUACAACUGAGGAUUCUAAGCUGAAAUUCUCAGAGGAUGAGGAAGAUCUCAUUGCUCGGAUGUUUCGAUUAGUUGGAGAGAGGUGGUCUCUGAUAGCUGGAAGAAUCCCAGGUAGAACAGCAGAGGAGAUUGAGAAAUAUUGGACUUCAAAGUAUUCUUCCUCUAGUAAUUGAAAGAUUAGGCACUUCAACUAGUUCUUAGCUCUUGUUUGAAGUUACCCAUCAAUGUACACAAAGUAGAUGUAAAUUUAGAUAUGGCCAUGGAAGUAGGAAUUAAAAUUGUUUUCUGUAAUACCAAGUUCUUAGAUUUUUA